GCGGAUGUAGUUCAAUUGGUAGAGCACCUGGUUGUGGUCCAGGGUGUUGCGGGUUCGAGCCCCGUCAUUCGCC
rnacentral:tRNA from 1 species